GUCAGGGUCUCAUGUCCCUCACAGUAUGGAAGCCGCGGCCUCGUUCCACUCCCGCCCACAGAUUCUUCUCUGAUUUCAAAGGACAGCAUGACCACCAAACUCCUGAACUGGAAAUUCCCAUGGUCAGUGGAGAAAAAAAUCUAGCAGCUGAUGCAUGAGGACCCACAGCCUGGCAAGUUCUCUUUGUAUCCUAUCAUGUGAAUAGAAGCCAAGGAAGGUUGUUUGGUUUGGAUUUCAGAUGGUGACUGACCAGCCCAGGGGAGCCAACAAAAAACUGCCUUGCUCUGUGCAUCUAGCGGACGGCAUCUCCAAGAGGCUAGCUGUCUCAGUCACCAGUUGUCCAUGUGAACAAAUUGCCACCCACGCCAUUACAUGAGAGUUGCCAGAUGAUAAGAACUUGAGGUUUUCAUAAAAGGGUGGAGAACACUUUGGGCCGUGGCAUUCAGAAGGAGCUAGGUACAGUGAAGACUCAAAGCAAAGGACUGGCACCUUGGGGCUCCAUGACUGCCACCGAGCAUGAAUGCAUGGGCACCGAGGGAUGCUAUCAAGGAUACCAGAUGUUGUCAACACGCAACGGUCUCCCGUCAGCAGGGAAAUUCUGAGGCGAUCCAAAAUCAUUUAUCCACACGCACCUCAAAGCCAAUGUGAGAAAUUCAUUUCCAAAGUGGGAAAUGUCUAUUCUGUGUCGUUGUUUCCAGACAAAACCCCUUCUUGUAUAAUACCAGAUGACAAAUGGUGCAGCUGCUCUUCUAUUGGACACAUAGAACAGCCAAAGAGGAGCAAUUGCUACAUUUACCAUACAUAAUCCCUACCCAAUGGGCUUAGAGAACUGCUUGCUUUUUUAUGUGUCAUCAACCAGAUGACAUCGGAAAGUCAUUUUAAAAAUAGCCCCUGCAUGGUAAUGAGUAAGUU